rnacentral:rRNA from 1 species
CAAUAGCGUAUAUUAAAGUUGUUGCGGUUAAAAGCUCGUAGUUGGAUUUCUGCCGAGGACGACCGGUCCGCCCUCUGGGUGAGUAUCUGGCUCGGCCUGGGCAUCUUCUUGGAGAACGUAGCUGCACUUGACUGUGUGGUGCGGUAUCCAGGACUUUUACUUUGAGGAAAUUAGAGUGUUUCAAGCAGGCAUACGCCUUGAAUACAUUAGCAUGGAAUAAUAAGAUAGGACCUCGUCGCUACCUUGUUGGUUCGUAGAGAUGAGGUAAUGAUUAAUAGGGAUAGUCGGGGGCAUUCGUACUUAACUGUCAGAGGUGAAAUUCUUGGAUUUGUUAAAGACGAACUACUGCGAAAGCAUUUGCCAAGGAUGUUUUCAUUGAUCAAGAACGAAAGUUAGGGGAUCGAAGACGAUCAGAUACCAU